GACGAACGCUGGCGGCGUGCUUAACACAUGCAAGUCGAACGGAAAGGCCCUGCUUUUGUGGGGUGCUCGAGUGGCGAACGGGUGAGUAACACGUGAGUAACCUGCCCUUGACUUUGGGAUAACUUCAGGAAACUGGGGCUAAUACCGGAUAGGAGCUCCUGCUGCAUGGUGGGGGUUGGAAAGUUUCGGCGGUUGGGGAUGGACUCGCGGCUUAUCAGCUUGUUGGUGGGGUAGUGGCUUACCAAGGCUUUGACGGGUAGCCGGCCUGAGAGGGUGACCGGCCACAUUGGGACUGAGAUACGGCCCAGACUCCUACGGGAGGCAGCAGUGGGGAAUAUUGCACAAUGGGCGGAAGCCUGAUGCAGCAACGCCGCGUGCGGGAUGACGGCCUUCGGGUUGUAAACCGCUUUCGCCUGUGACGAAGCGUGAGUGACGGUAAUGGGUAAAGAAGCACCGGCUAACUACGUGCCAGCAGCCGCGGUGAUACGUAGGGUGCGAGCGUUGUCCGGAUUUAUUGGGCGUAAAGGGCUCGUAGGUGGUUGAUCGCGUCGGAAGUGUAAUCUUGGGGCUUAACCCUGAGCGUGCUUUCGAUACGGGUUGACUUGAGGAAGGUAGGGGAGAAUGGAAUUCCUGGUGGAGCGGUGGAAUGCGCAGAUAUCAGGAGGAACACCAGUGGCGAAGGCGGUUCUCUGGGCCUUUCCUGACGCUGAGGAGCGAAAGCGUGGGGAGCGAACAGGCUUAGAUACCCUGGUAGUCCACGCUGUAAACGGUGGGUACUAGGUGUGGGGUCCAUUCCACGGGUUCCGUGCCGUAGCUAACGCUUUAAGUACCCCGCCUGGGGAGUACGGCCGCAAGGCUAAAACUCAAAGGAAUUGGCGGGGCCCCGCACAAGCGGCGGAGCAUGCGGAUUAAUUCGAUGCAACGCGUAGAACCUUACCUGGGUUUGACAUGGAUCGGGAGUGCUCAGAGAUGGGUGUGCCUCUUUUGGGGUCGGUUCACAGGUGGUGCAUGCCUGUCGUCAGCUCGUGUCGUGAGAUGUUGGGUUAAGUCCCGCAACGAGCGCAACCCUUGUUCACUGUUGCCAGCACGUUAUGGUGGGGACUCAGUGGAGACCGCCGGGGUCAACUCGGAGGAAGGUGGGGAUGACGUCAAGUCAUCAUGCCCCUUAUGUCCAGGGCUUCACGCAUGCUACAAUGGCUGGUACAGAGAGUGGCGAGCCUGUGAGGGUGAGCGAAUCUCGGAAAGCCGGUCUCAGUUCGGAUUGGGGUCUGCAACUCGACCUCAUGAAGUCGGAGUCGCUAGUAAUCGCAGAUCAGCAACGCUGCGGUGAAUACGUUCCCGGGGCU
rnacentral:rRNA from 1 species